GAUGAAGAACGCAGCGAAAUGCGAUAAGUAAUGUGAAUUGCAGAAUUCAGUGAAUCAUCGAAUCUUUGAACGCACAUUGCGCCCGCCAGUAUUCUGGCGGGCAUGCCUGUUCGAGCGUCAUUACAACCCUCAGGCCCCCGGGCCUGGCGUUGGGGAUCGGCGGAAGCCCCCUGUGGGCACACGCCGUCCCUCAAAUACAGUGGCGGUCCCGCCGCAGCUUCCAUUGCGUAGUAGCUAACACCUCGCAACUGGAGAGCGGCGCGGCCAUGCCGUAAAACACCCAACUUCUGAAUGUUGACCUCGAAUCAGGUAGGAAUACCCGCUGAACUUAAGCAUAUCAAUAAGCGAGGA
rnacentral:misc_RNA from 1 species